GAAAAGGUGGGGAAGCAUGAAGAGAAGCACGGAGGAGGGAAAGAGAGUGCAGUGUUAGGGAAAUGCCAGGAGCCAGGCUUGGCUGCUAUGCAGAACAUUUGGUGAAAAGUUGAAGAAGUUGGAAAGAAAGGCCAGAAAGAGAACGUCUUACAUGCAAGUUCCUGAAAUGACAGAGAGUGUACAGGUUGUCGCUGUGAAUGGCAAACCCCAAGGCUGGGCUCUCAGGUGCCUCCAUCAUUCAGAGGGGAGUCGCUGAGAGUUAUUUCUUCGCCAUUCCAGGAAGCCAGCUCUCUGUCUUCCCAUCCCCUUGUCUGCAGCCAGAGGCAAGAUUGUGGAGGUGGAUUCAGGAGACGGGGAUGACAAAGAUGGGUUUUAACAGCUGCC